rnacentral:rRNA from 1 species
UACGAAGGGGGGCUAGCGUUGCUCGGAAUCACUGGGCGUAAAGGGUGCGUAGGCGGGUCUUUAAGUCAGGGGUGAAAUCCUGGAGCUCAACUCCAGAACUGCCUUUGAUACUGAAGAUCUUGAGUUCGGGAGAGGUGAGUGGAACUGCGAGUGUAGAGGUGAAAUUCGUAGAUAUUCGCAAGAACACCAGUGGCGAAGGCGGCUCACUGGCCCAUUACUGACGCUGAGGCACGAAAGCGUGGGGAGCAAACAGG